GAAGGAGACAAAUAAGUCCGUUGUCCUGAAGGAGGCGGUUCUUUUAAGCAGGGUCCUUCAGCGUCAACUCUCCAUCCCGUGGGAGGAUCACACGAGAGGUCAGGGCUGUGACAUGAGCUUCUACCAGGGGCAUUUGGAGUUGUGCAGCUGCUGAGGGGAUGAACGAGUAGUGUUUGUUAGCUAAGGAAGAGACCUUCUUCUGAACCGCUGGUGCGUGCCACUCCUGCUGGAGAACCUCUGAGAAGAAGGGGAGGAUAGUGGCAGUCGAGGAGCCAAACAAGGAGGAAGGAGGCUUAAGCGGAGGAAGGAGCAAGCUAAAAAACUUAUCUGAGGAGGAACGAAGCAAGGCUGAGUAUCCUUUCCUGGAGCGUUAGCACUAGCAGGACGAAAAGAACUGGGUGGGGUUACCAUCCGGCUCCUUUUAUGGCUUUCUAAUUAGCAUACGUCCUGCCCUAGAGCGAGCAUAGGAUGAUAACCCAGGGAGUUGUCCUCACACAGCAGGCGAGAACAGGACAUUUAACAUUUGACUGAAGUUCUGAAAAAUGUGGAAAAGAAAAUAAAUUCCCAAUUCGUGUUACUGCUGGAUAUCCAAAACACCAAGUAUUAGAAACCUUUCCCAUAUACUUCUUAAUCAGCCAAUUUCUCUGCCAGAUCCACUCAAUAAUGA